GGAAGCUUCUGACCAGUGGAAGGAAAGGGAGAGAUGAGCAGGGCUACUUGACCGGGCUUGCCGAGCAGUGCAAGGUCACAACCCCUUGUAGGCAUUUCCCAAGGCCACAACAUCUGGUCAGAUCGCAGCCUUCUUGCACGGGGAAACAUGAGACAGCAUUGCAGCAGUAUACUUGAGGGCUUUUUAAACAGUGAAAUCACCAGAAGAAAAGCAAGAAAUGCAAAGUACUUGGCUACAUUACUGAAAGGACCCCUUUACAACAUAAGAGCUACAACGAGAAGGCAGAACAUGUCCUCCUUCCACCUCAGCUGAGAAUAGCAUGUCUGUCAGGGGAUUUGACUUUUCCUCAGCUCUUCACUUACCCAUGAAUGACUACUACUACGUUUUAUUGAUUUGGGACUUACGAACCGAUUUUUAACAAGUAAGUAAAAACAAAAUCUACAAAUAAUGAACAUCAACUAUGCAUACAGAGCUGAACAGUAUUGAGGUAGAAGAUUUUGCUGGGGCAAACAGGUUGAACACUAUGAGAAGCCAGUCAGUCAUGAAGGCCCAGGGUACAGGCCCAGAACACAGAAUGAGGGAUAACUGUGCAGUCUCUAAGUACAAUAUAU